AGCGAACGCUGGCGGCAGGCUUAACACAUGCAAGUCGAGCGGGCACUUCGGUGUCAGCGGCAGACGGGUGAGUAACACGUGGGAACGUACCCUUCGGUUCGGAAUAACGCUGGGAAACUAGCGCUAAUACCGGAUACGCCCUUUUGGGGAAAGGUUUACUGCCGAAGGAUCGGCCCGCGUCUGAUUAGCUAGUUGGUGGGGUAAUGGCCUACCAAGGCGACGAUCAGUGGCUGGUCUGAGAGGAUGAUCAGCCACACUGGGACUGAGACACGGCCCAGACUCCUACGGGAAGCAGCAGUGGGGAAUAUUGGACAAUGGGCGCAAGCCUGAUCCAGCCAUGCCGCGUGAGUGAUGAAGGCCUUAGGGUUGUAAAGCUCUUUUGUCCGGGACGAUAAUGACGGUACCGGAAGAAUAAGCCCCGGCUAACUUCGUG
rnacentral:rRNA from 1 species